UACGUAGGGUGCAAGCGUUAAUCGGAAUUACUGGGCGUAAAGCGCGCGUAGGCGGUUCAGUAAGUUGAAUGUGAAAUCCCCGGGCUCAACCUGGGAACUGCAUCCAAAACUGCUGAGCUAGAGUACGGUAGAGGGGAGUGGAAUUUCCUGUGUAGCGGUGAAAUGCGUAGAUAUAGGAAGGAACACCAGUGGCGAAGGCGACUACCUGGACUGGUACUGACACUGAGGUGCGAAAGCGUGGGGAGCAAACAGG
rnacentral:rRNA from 1 species